CCUACGGGAGGCAGCAGUGAGGAAUAUUGGUCAAUGGUCGGGAGACUGAACCAGCCAAGCCGCGUGAGGGAUGAAGGUACAGCGUAUCGUAAACCUCUUUUGUCAGGGAACAAAGGCGGGGACGUGUCCGCGGAUGAGUGUACCCGAAGAAACAGCAUCGGCUAACUCCGUGCCAGCAGCCGCGGUAAUACGGAGGAUGCGAGCGUUAUCCGGAUUUAUGGGGUUAAAAGGGUGCGCAGGCGGUCUGUUAAGUCCGCGGUCAAAGCCCGGGGCUCAACCCCGGCCCGCCGUUGAAACUGGCAGUCUCGAGUUGGAGAGAAGUAGGCGGAAUGCGCGGUGUAGCGGUGAAAUGCAUAGAUAUUGCGCAGAACUCCGAUUGCGAAGGCAGCAUGCCGGCUCCACACUGACGCUGAGGCACGAAAGCGUGGGUAUCGAACAAGAUUAGAUACCCGAGUAGUC
rnacentral:rRNA from 1 species